AAUGCGACAGUGUUUUUCCAUGUUAUAAUACAUUUUAUUGCAAACUGACUGCUGAAAUUUGCAUUUUGUCAUUUGAUGGGAAGAUUUUACUUUCAAGAUUUAUCUGAUCCUCAUCUGCCUCGUGGCUCCGUCCAGUUGUAGAAUGUAAUCGUCAUAAUUGGUAUUCAGUCGGGAUAACAACCAGCUUUCCAACGUCCAAAAAUGAGUCACCAGUCACAGUUGCACCAUUCUUUUGUGUAUACCCUGUACAUAGUCUGUGCAUUGAUUUUAUAAAUGAAAAGGUACUACAUUGGCUUUAACAGGGCUGCCCCAUUAAAUGUGAAAAACUACAACUUAUUACCUCCAAAUUGUUAAUUGACCUUUUAUUAAGCAGUCAACUGCAUAUCUAAAUUUUAGUGAGAUUUAAAAAAAUGCUUGUUUCCUGACAUAUGACAUCAAAUAUGAAGCAUUUUUGUUAGUGUUUAUGAAAAUCUGUUAUAUUUGAGAGCUUUCAUCCAUAAAAAUUUAUUAGAACGUUUGCAUCACAAUAAUUCAGAUUCAAUGUAGAAGGGUUGUGGGCUGGUAAUUCGGCGUGAUGUCAGAAAGUUACCACUGAUUAUAGGAAUUGCAGCGAAGCCAGUCUAGCUGUGGAACUCUGAUCUUUGGUUUGAGGAGUGUAACUAAAAUUAUUUUAUACCAGGAAAAUUGUUAUUAAGCAACAUUUUUCCAUAAAACACUUGUUCUUACCUUUGAUGUUAAUUUCACGUGGCUUAAUAAAACUUUUGUUUCUUUGUAACGAGUUAAUGAUGCACUCUGCUCUCUGAACUCUCCAUAUGUAUCUGUAUGGGAAUUAAUGUAGCGAUUAUUAGAGUGAUAACACUUGGGACUUGCAUUUAUUGAUGAGUGUUGUGGUUUAUUAGAACUAAGAACUCAUGAUAUUUUUGUAAUAUGCCAGUGGAUUGAUUUCAUAUAUAUUAACAUCAGACACAUAUGUGACAUGAAAGCUCUCAUUUGUGAGGUAUAUUGCAGUAUUUAAAUUCUAAUAUGACCACAUUUCAUGCAGCUAUGGCGGUUACUUCAUUUAACUUAUAUGUUUCCUCAAGGUUACAAAGAGAUGCAAUAAUCUUGCUGUACUGAACUAUUGAAGUUAGUUUUAAGUUAUGUAGUAGCCAAAGUAUAUGACAUUUGCAGAAUUCUCAUAUAUGUAAAAUUAGCUAUGGUAAGGGACACGAACAAGGAUUUUUUUGUUUGAGACAACAAGGUGAUAGUUACAUAUUACUAUCUUCACUGUAUUCUUGGUAUAAUGAAAGGUCCCUUUCUGACUUUAUAUAAUUUACAUGUAGCUCAGUCAGUGUAGUAACUAAACUGUGUGCUGGAAUUGAUUCCUGGCAGGGGCAUGGGUUUUUAUCAUAACCACCACCUUUACACUGACUCUAGGGCCUCCUGUCCCUGUAUGCAUAGCAGCUGGAGUAUGAGGCUAUACACUCACCUUCGUGUAUCGUCUAAGCUAAGAAUGCGUGAAGUUUUAUCUCUACUACCCCUUACAUCAUGGCAUAGUGGCUGAUAUGCACAGGACAAUGUUUCCUGACCUUAAAAUAUUAUCUCCAAAUACACAAAUAUAUCUAUGUGUACCAUAAACUGUCGUAACACUGAAUCUAGCUUUGAGAUUUAUUAAUUUAAGUAAUACAGAAAAUUGCUGUUUGAAAUUUGAAAUUGGACAGAAAAAUUAGUAAAAUUAUGCGCUUUUUCUUUCCCCUUCAGUUAUGUUUGUGUUUGAGUGAAAUAUCUGUCUGGUCUUGAUGUGCUCUCCUUUUAUUGUUAUUUUGUAUGUAACAGUGUUGGUUCAUUAUCAUAGCUGUCACUAUGAUGCAUAUUAUGUUUUAUAUUAAUUUUCUGUAUGUUUACUUAAGUCUGCCCAUUAAAUUAGUUUACUGAAGUAUAAUGUUUGGUUAUUUUUAAUUGUACUGCUAGCUGCAUUGAAGAUGAAGUACUUAAAUGCAUAUUUCAGCACCCAACCAGUAGAUUCUAGUUAUCAAAAUAUUUUUACUAUUGUUUUCAUUAUUACACACAGAAAUAAAAGUAUGGUUAACUUCUGUCAGUCCUUUAUACUGUAGUCUGUGGAAAAGUGAAAACAUCUAACAUAUCAUAUUUUAUGCUUGAACGUUAAAUAUCAGAUCUCAUGUAAUCUUCAUUACCUAAAUGACAAAUUUAGAGUUAGUGAAAGUUAAUUGUAUUUAUUUUCUAUUUAUUCAGAUUAUUGUGUGGAGGACCCAUGCAUAUUGAAAUAUGUUGUUAUUAUGAAGAUGAUGUUAGUCUGAAAUUAAAAAUUAUUAUCUUUGGUUAUCUAAGUGCUCCCAUUACCUCAUUUUGUUAGUCUGUACAUAUGCACCUGCACCAUUUAUCUUUGCUUUUCUGCAUUCUCUGUGAGGUUAAUAGUACACAUACUGUGAAGAGGACUGUUCAUUUGACCUGCUGCCAUUUUAAAAAUGUCAUCAGUGCUAAUGUUAUGAAUGAUGAGCAUCCAGUUAUUCACUGUAUUACAGUGAUGUGGAAAGAUGUAAUGGCUGAAGACUGCCUCCCAGUAUUCAAUGCAAGUUGAUGAAGCAGCCAUGUUACUACGAUGUUUAUGUGUCUGGUCCCCACAAUCUUCUAGGCUUACAUCCCCUCAUUGGACAGUUGAUUUCCAAACCCAGAGUGGAACCCCAGAUAACAGCAAAUGACACCUCACAGCAGCAUCUGGGAAAAGUCAUAAAAUUAGCCACAGUACUCUUGUCAGAACAGC